GGGGUGGGGGGUUACAGUGCAAGUAAAUUAAUUGAGUUUGAUAUUGAAUGAUGAACAAGUAUACUGGUGGUUUGUGGCCAUUAUUUAACUUUUCUUUAUUGAGCUGUGACAUAAUAUUGGAGUUUGUCUUCAUUCAUGUUAAUAUCAUUGAUUCACGAUAGUAAAGAGGGCUUUUAUCAUUUCAUUUAUAACUAUGGUACAUGUACAUUAAUCUUUUGAUACACCAGAUUUUCAUAUUUUAUUCACAAACUGUAGUAUGUGAUCUGUGUAACAAAUCCACACAUGUACGUGCAGGAUGUACCGUACAUUAAAUUUUAUGAAUCUGCUAUUUGAUACAAAUUGGAAAUUUAACAAAUAUUUAUGCAAUUUAUUUGUUUGAUGGUAAAUAUCUAUUGUGGAAAUUAAAGACAAAGAAAAAAAAUC
rnacentral:misc_RNA from 1 species